rnacentral:rRNA from 1 species
UUCGGGUGCCGACGAGUGGCGAACGGGUGAGUAACGCGUGGAUACCUGUCCUAUGGUGGGGAAUAACGUUUAGAAAUGAACGCUAAUACCGCAUAAGCCCUGCGGGGGAAAGAUUUAUCGCCAUAGGAGGGGUCCGCGUCGGAUUAGCUUGUUGGUGGGGUAACGGCCUACCAAGGCGACGAUCCGUAGCUGGUCUGAGAGGAUGAUCAGCCACACUGGGACUGAGACACGGCCCAGACUCCUACGGGAGGCAGCAGUGGGGAAUAUUGCGCAAUGGGGGCAACCCUGACGCAGCGACGCCGCGUGGGUGAAGAAGGCCUUAGGGUUGUAAAGCCCUUUCAGUGGGAAAGAUGAUGACGGUACCCACAGAAGAAGCUCCGGCUAACUCCGUGCCAGCAGCCGCGGUAAUACGGAGGGGGCCAGCGUUGUUCGGAAUUACUGGGCGUAAAGGGCGCGUAGGCGGUUGAUCAAG